rnacentral:rRNA from 1 species
GUAGGCGGUUAGUUAAGUGAAUAGUGAAACCUGGUGGCUCAACCAUACAGACUAUUAUUCAAACUGGCUAACUCGAGAAUGGUAGAGGUCACNUGGAAUUUCUUGUGUAGGAGUGAAAUCCGCAGAUAUAAGAAGGAACACCAAUGGCGUAGGCAGGUGACUGGACCAUUUCUGACGCCUAAGGCACGAAAGCGUGGGGAGCGAACCGGAUUAGAUACCCGGGUAGUCCACGCCGUAAACGAUGGAUACUAGCUGUUGGAGGUAUCGACCCCUUCAGUAGCGAAGCUAACGCGUUAAGUAUCCCGCCUGUGGAGUACCGGCCGCAAGGCUAAAACAUAAAGGAAUUGACGGGGACCCCGCACAAGCGGUGGAUUAUGUUCUUUAAUUCGAUGAUAACCCGAAGAACCUUACCAGGGCUUGACAUCCAGGGAAGGUCUGCGAAAAGUAGACNUGUGCCCUUUUUGGA